GACGAACGCUGGCGGCGUGCCUAAUACAUGCAAGUCGAACGAACCGCGACUAGGUGCUUGCACUUGGUCAAGGUGAGUGGCGAACGGGUGAGUAACACGUGGGUAACCUACCUCAUAGUGGGGGAUAACAGUCGGAAACGACUGCUAAUACCGCAUAGGACAUAGGAUCACAUGAUUCUGUGAGGAAAGGUGGCGCAAGCUAUCGCUAAGAGGUGGACCCGCGGUGCAUUAGCUAGUUGGUAGGGUAAAGGCCUACCAAGGCGAUGAUGCAUAGCCGACCUGAGAGGGUGAUCGGCCACAUUGGGACUGAGACACGGCCCAAACUCCUACGGGAGGCAGCAGUAGGGAAUCUUCCGCAAUGGACGCAAGUCUGACGGAGCAACGCCGCGUGAGUGAAGAAGGUCUUCGGAUCGUAAAGCUCUGUUGUUAGAGAAGAACAGCGCAUAGAGUAACUGUUAUGCGUGUGACGGUAUCUAACCAGAAAGCCACGGCUAACUACGUG
rnacentral:rRNA from 1 species